rnacentral:rRNA from 1 species
UACAGAGGGUGCAAACGUUGCUCGGAAUCAUUGGGCGUAAAGCGCACGUAGGCGGCCUAGCAAGUAGGGAGUGAAAGCCCUCGGCUUAACCGAGGAAGUGCUUUCUAAACUACUAGGCUUGAAUACCGUGGAGGUCAGCGGAAUAUGUCAUGUAGCGGUGAAAUGCUUAGAUAUGACAUAGAACACCAAUUGCGAAGGCAGCUGGCUACGCGAAUAUUGACACUGAUGCACGAAAGCUGGGGGAGCAAACAGG